CUGCGCAUGUGUAAGUCUCCGGGAAGUCUGAUCCUCAGCGGGUUGCUAUGGAGACCGCUGCCCGGGAGGAUGCCACCAUGGAGUCAUGUCACCUAGCAACCAGCAUCCCGGGGAAUGGAGGAGAAGACUGCGGGAGACACAAUGCCGGAGCCGAGCCCUGCUAUGGAGGUGACAUGUGAGGAAGAAGAGGAUGACACGAGUAAGAUGUCGUCGGAGGAGGAGUCGGCGAGCUCCGGGCCGGAGAGGACAGCGCCAGGAGGAUGGGCCGCAGACUGGAGCUUCUGGGUCUCCAGCUCUACCUACAAGCAGAGGAGUGAAGAGUUUCGCAAACUGUUCAAGGACUUACCAGAAAGCGAGAAACUCAUAGUAGAUUACGCCUGUGCCCUGCAAAAGGACAUCCUACUCCAAGGGCGCCUCUACUUGACCGAGAACUGGAUCUGCUUCCACAGCAAUAUCUUCCGAUGGGAAACUUCGAUAUGUAUCUCCCUCAGAGAGGUCACCUCCAUGACCAAAGAGAAAACGGCACGGCUCAUCCCCAAUGCCAUCCAGGUCACCACCGACAACGAGAAGUUUUUUUUCACAUCACUUGCUACAAGGGACAGAAGUUUCUUAAACAUGUUUCGCAUGUGGCAGAAUGUUCUCCUAGAAAAGACUCUCACCAAUAAGGAGUUUUGGCAGCUGGUGCAGCAGAGCUAUGGGUCUGAACUAGGCCUGAACAAUGAGGAAAUGGAAAAUCUAACCAUGCCGCCAGAGGACGCUGCACCGCCCAGGACGGCAGGGAAGACGGCCACUGAGGACUCCAAUGAGAAGUUGGAGAAGACCCCGAGGGGCGGAUCGUUCACCAAGGAUGUCGUGUCCCAGACAGAGACGGAUUCACUGAACCUGCUGCAGAUGAUAGCAAGCCAGACCCAGUCCGAAGAGGUCCAGGGGGAAAAGGUGACCGGGAGAAGCCCCCUCCUGAGCUCCUCCAGGAAGAGCAGCCUCCGGAUGCACAUUGGGACGCCCUCCCUGGCCCUGGACCUAAAUGGAAAUGAAAACCAACAAGCGGACAGGAGCACCGGCUCCAACUCCUCAGGGGAAGAGGAGCGUCUUCAGGAGGAGCAGGUGGAGGGGAGAUUAUACAUCAACCGGGUCUUUCACAUCAGCGCCGAGCGAAUGUUUCAGCUUCUCUUCACGCCCUCGCGCUUCAUGCAGAAAUUCCUUUCUUCCCGAAAAGUCUUUGAUCUGGAGUCUUCCCCAUGGCAGCCCGACAGCAGCGGCAACCAGAAGAGGACGCUGACCUACACCAUCACCAUCAACAACCCGCUGGUCGGGAAGUUCACAACCGCUACAGACUAUCAGACCUUGCAUAAAGAUGGCCAGGAGGGCCAGUACUACUCUGUAGAGACGGAGGUGUACACACACGACGUCCCAUACCACGAUUACUUCUACACAGUGAACAAAUACUGUAUAUCCCGAACCUCCAAACACAAGUGCAGACUGUGGGUCUGUACAGAUGUGAAGUACAAGAAGCAGCCUUGGGGUCUCAUCAAGACGUUCAUUGAGAGGAACUCAUGGAGUGGCCUAGAGGAUUACUUUAAGCAGAUGGAGUCUGAUCUGGUUGCGGAGGAAUCCUCAGGCAGCGCUUUGCAGGAGAACAAUAAACCCGCAAGUAUUAGGAGGAGGAGACGGCCCCACAGCCGCAUCCCUGGUGAUCACCUGACCAAACAUGGCUCCCCGCUGGAUUCUGGGAAAAUGGGCCUUGAUGCAAAGCAGGAGCACAUAGGGAGAAGAAGAGACCAUGGCCGUAGAAACUCCAUUAUUGUCUUUGUAAUGAGUGUCCUUCUGGCCAUGCUGGUUCUGCUCAACAUCACUCUGUUCAUUAAGUUGUCCAAGAUAGAACACGCUGCCCAGUCCUUCUACCACAUCCACCAGGAGAGGUCAGGCAGGUUCCAUUCCAGUGUGGGAGAAGACGCUCCGAGCAGGAGAAGUCCGGGGGUGGCACUGAAAGGCGUCCUGAAGGAGUCCAUCACUACACUAGAACAGCUCAAAAGUUCCCUCCUCAUCCUCCAGAGAAGCUUUGACCUUCUUAACAACAAGUCCAAGGGAGAAGAGGAGGCUUCUGGGAGUUAUGAUGCCGAGGUAUAGCUGCUUGUCGGAGGCAGUGACUGCUGAACGUCAUCAUUCCCUAUGGAGAACCAGCAUGAGAAGUCCUACAGCAGUGGUCCGCAGGUUGGAGACCACUGUCUACAGUUUACAGCGCUGGAGUCAUCGUCAUCCUCAUUCUUCUAUGAAGCUGCUAAAUCCUGUUCUUUUUUUGUUUUUUUCUCCCUUUAAAAGAAUCAUCCAGAAUUAGAAAAAAAUGUCCGCUUUUCUCCACAGCGCCCCCCCCUGUCCACAGGUUGUUUGUGGUAUUGCACUCAGGCCCAUUCACUUCAAUUGGAGCAGAGCUGCAAUACCAGAUGCAACCUGUGGUCAGGGGUGGCGCUGUUUAUGGAAGUAAGCAGCCAUUUUUUUUAUUAUUAUUUUUUAUCAUUUUGGACACCCCUUUUAUUUAAUCUUGAUUUGUUUGGUAUAAUGUGAAGAUUUCUGUCCUAUAAAAUCUCAGGUCUUUCGUCUGAACCUUCCUCUUAAUGUUGGAUCCGUCCUCCCCGCGCUCUGGGGAAAGGGGGCGCUCCCUGCCCGGUCUCAGGGGUCGUUGUUGUGUAAUGUUGUCUGUAUAUAGGAUGUGUGACUUUGUUAUUUAAAUUAAAAGAAAUUUGUUUUCUACAACAAGCAAA